rnacentral:rRNA from 1 species
UGGGUAACCUGCCUCAAAGAGGGGAAUAGCCUCCCGAAAGGGAGAUUAAUACCGCAUAAUAUGUUUAAGUCGCAUGACUUUAACAUCAAAGGAUUUUCUUUUAGAACUUCCACUUUGAGAUGGACCCGCGGCGCAUUAGCUAGUUGGUGAGGUAAUGGCUCACCAAGGCGACGACGGGUAGCCGGCCUGAGAGGGUGACCGGCCACACUGGGACUGAGACACGGCCCAGACCUCCGUACGGGAGNAG